rnacentral:rRNA from 1 species
GCAGUCGAGCGCGAAUGGGGAAACCCUAGUAGAGCGGCGCACGGGUGCGUAACACGUGGAUAAUCUGCCUGGAUGCCUGGGAUAACCAGUCGAAAGAUUGGCUAAUACCGGAUAAGCCCACGGUUUCUUCGGAGACUGAGGGAAAAGGUGGCCUCUGUAUACAAGCUAUCACAACCAGAUGAGUCCGCGGCCCAUCAGCUAGUUGGCGGGGUAAUGGCCCACCAAGGCAACGACGGGUAGCUGGUCUGAGAGGACGAUCAGCCACACUGGAACUGAGACACGGUCCAGACUCCUACGGGAGGCAGCAGUGGGGAAUUUUGCGCAAUGGGCGAAAGCCUGACGCAGCAACGCCGCGUGUGUGAUGAAGGUCUUCGGAUUGUAAAGCACUUUCGACCGGGACGAAAACCCGUAGCCCAACACGCUACGGCUUGACGGUACCGGGAGAAGAAGCACCGGCUAACUCUGUGCCAGCAGCCGCGGUAAUACAGAGGGUGCAAGCGUUGUUCGGAAUUAUUGGGCGUAAAGCGCGUGUAGGCGGCGUGACAAGUCGGGUGUGAAAGCCCUCAGCUCAACUGAGGAAGUGCGCCCGAAACUGUCGUGCUUGAGUGCCGGAGAGGGUGGCGGAAUUCCCCAAGUAGAGGUGAAAUUCGUAGAUAUGGGGAGGAACACCGGUGGCGAAGGC